GAUCCAUCCAACCUCUUUUCCCCAGUCAGUCUUGUCUUCAUAACCACAGCUAAUCACAUGGAUGGCUUCCUUUAGUAGUGAUGCUGGAGAAGCAGUUUUCAGUGUGCCACCAUUCUCAAGCAGUGUUGACGCAACAAAAACAGGAGACUGCCCAAACUUCUUCUCCAACUUCUGUUCGGAUAAGGCCAUCGCUUUUUCACUCUCAAUACCUUCGAUGCCCUCUUCGAUCCCUUCCAGAGCGAAGACUGGCGCACCAUUGUCUCCUCUUCCGAAGUUCCUCCUCUUCUUUUCUUGCUUACUCUUAGUAGUCUUCUUCUUCCUCUUAGACGAGAA
rnacentral:misc_RNA from 1 species